GGGGAAUUUUGGACAAUGGGCGCAAGCCUGAUCCAGCAAUGCCGCGUGCAGGAAGAAGGCCUUCGGGUUGUAAACUGCUUUUGUACGGAACGAAACGGUCCUGGUUAAUACCUGGGGCUAAUGACGGUACCGUAAGAAUAAGCACCGGCUAACUACGUGCCAGCAGCCGCGGUAAUACGUAGGUGGCAAGCGUUGUCCGGAUUUACUGGGCGUAAAGGAUGCGUAGGCGGAUAUUUAAGUGAGAUGUGAAAUACCCGGGCUCAACUUGGGUGCUGCAUUUCAAACUGGAUAUCUAGAGUGCAGGAGAGGAAAGUGGAAUUCCGCGUGUAGCAGUGAAAUGCGUAGAUAUGCGGAGGAACACCGAUGGCGAAGGCAGUCCCCUGGGCCUGUACUGACGCUCAUGCACGAAAGCGUGGGGAGCAAACA
rnacentral:rRNA from 1 species